AUGCAUUUUCACACCAUGUUGUUUCCGAACAUGAUGACUGUGACAUCUAAACCUAAUCUCAGUCCAAAGGGCAAUAGUCAAACCAUAAUUCUGCAAGUGAAAGGAAGAAAAGGGUAUGUGAAGAGCAAGUUUCUGCAUCCAGCACAGGCUGAUCACAUCCCUGCUGUCUACGCACAAAAUAAGAGUUUGGUGCUCAGACUGUGGAAAAGUGACAGCUCACUGUUCUGGGCCUCUCAUAAGGAAUUUUUGCAGAGCCAUGGACCUUCAUGGAAAACUAACUAUUCUGGACAACAUUUCAGGGAAACUGCUCAGACUAAAAGAUUGCCAGAUGCCCUCUUGGCCUGCAAAAAAUCAUCCAAAAUAAGGCUUCACCUGAAUUAAUGUAAGCAUGUGGAUUUUUGGAGAAAGUGUAUUGAUUGUGUUUUUUGGGGAAAUUAUUUGAAAAUUAAACACCGAGGAAAAAUUUAGAAGAAAUAUAAUCUAUUCUGAUUAGAUAAACAAUCCCUGCAAAAGUAAUCCUAGAUCUGUGUUUUGAAAGUGGUAACUGACAACUUAUAUCUAUGCUUAGAGAAAGUAGUGAGAAAUAUUUUUUUGUGAAGUGUAAACCUGCUGGAUAAUAACAGAAUCUGUCAACCUGUAGUGUCAUUAUUUCUGAACAACAUUCAUGUAUUAGACCAGCCUAAUACAAGUGUUUUCCUGGAAGUGUAAGCUUUUAAUUUAUUACUUUGAAGUAUUAUUGACUACUAUAAUAACUAAGAAAUAGGAUGUACUAGAGUUAUUGUGCACAAGCAGUUCCUAAAUAAACUCCACAUAACCAAUAAUAAAUUAAUUCUAUUUUGAUAGGUCCAUUCAUAGUGGCCUAGUCAUACUGUGUUCAAUGGGAGCUGCUGAGUACUUUGGACUUCUAAAAAACCCACUGUAUAAAUGACAUGAGAUUCAAUCUUUUGUCAUCUUUUAGGCUGCAAAAUCCAUCCUGCACAGUAUACAACCCUCAAGGACAUUGUGGUAAAGAAAUUGACAUUAUGAGAAGCCUUAGAGACAAUUUUCCUACAUUUUUUUUCCAAGUAAAUCACUUUUCAUUAGUACAAAAGAAUUAGAAAUCAGCAUCCAAGGUUUCAAUGUCAUUAAUGAAGAAUUACCAAGAAAGAUUGUCCAUGAAUUAAGAAAUAGAAUUACUUGAAAUUUCUUUUGAAUAAGAGAGCCCUCUGAAGGUUCUGGAUUACUAGGAUUGCUCCAUUUGGAUCCAAAAGUCAUGUCAAUUUACAGAAAGACUGAAUAUAUAUAUUCUUUCUGUAAAUGACUGUAUAUAUAAACUAUAUAUAGUCUUUCUCUAAAUGACUAUAUUACAGCUGGAUCAAGACUAUAUAUAUAUAUAUAUAUAUAUAUAUAAUAUAUAUAUAUAAUAAUAUAUAUAUAUAGUCUUGAUCCAGCUGAUGCUCAGCCUGAAUAUUUAAUGGAAUAAGGAGUUAUCAAAUGAUCACACAAUUGGCACAAUCUUUACAAAUUGUAUUAUUCAUCAUACUGGCUGAAAAGUAGUGUGUGAGCACACUCAAGCACCAUCAAUGCUUCACAGGUGCUGAUAUUUAGCUGCCUUUCUAGGCAUGUGUGAGAGGAUGUGUUUUGUUGAAGAUGAUUUUAUAUAGGCAGCAGCAACAGUUUAUAAACAAUAAAGAAUCUGCAGGGGCUUGGAUUAUCACCUCUCAUUGCGGAGCUUUCUCAGUCAAGCAUAUAAAAUUUGACAUUUCCAUGGUCCCAGGAAUUUUGUGACACUUCACAUAAACUAUUUUCCAGAAUUCCAGUUGUUCAGUACUGUAUUUGUGUCCUGAUUUAGUUAACAGUGAACUUGUUUAGCAUUUUUUGGAACUUUUAAGGUGUUUGUGAAGUCAUGUAUCUGAAGUAAGAAGAGAAAAUACAAGACUAGAAAAAACAAUGCCACUUUCUUGAGACGUAUGGUAUUCUCUGAGAGAAGAUAAAUAAGUGCUCACAAUGUCCCUGAACUGAAAGUCAGACAAUAAUUUCACAAUCAGUAGAGACAUUGCUUGAUGAGAUCAAGUAAUUCUCUUUUUCUGACCAACAUGAGCUAGCUAAUAAAAAAGAAAUUAUAGCUGUGAUUUUAUUUCUGAAGAAAGUCACUGAGUCACCUUAGUUUAUAGCACAUUCAAGACCUGCAUACAUGCACAGAACAAUAGUAAUGCCUGUGACUCAAACUGACAUAUAUAGAGUUGUAAAUGAGACUAAAGUUAGUCAAACUUCUUGAUGUGACCUUACCAAUGCCCCAAAAAUUCUAAGUCGUGAUAUAGAGUGGUCUUAUCAACUGUGCCAGGUUCUUGGAAGGAAUUAGCUUUCUGAUUGUGAUAGCUAAUUUGGUUUUAAGUACUUUGAGAUUAUUUUAAUAAAAAAUUCCUGUGGCAGAAAUGUGAAUUCUUUGUGAUUUAUUUGCAACUUUAUAGUAACUGAUAACAAAAUUUAUUUUCAUUUGAAGAGUCCAAGUUAGACCAACAUCUUUUUCACUUGAGCGGUCAGUGCACACUGCUGAUCCCAACAAACAUUUGUGCUGAACUCUGGUGAAGAUAGGAAUUGCCUAACAGAUAUUUCUGAAAGAGAUUGCAUGGUACGACUUGACAAGUUCUCGUUUUCCUGCAUAUCACUUCUUGACCAGUUUGCUACCAUUGGUUCAAAACAGUGGCAGUCCUAGAUCAGAUCUUCAUGAUCUCCGUUGUACCUGAGGAAAUGCAGUACUAGGAAGAACAGAUUGGACUAGUAUCAUUUUGCCGUAAGAAUUAAUAUGUGAUAGCAACUAUUGAUCUGAACCAAAUGGCUUCCUUUAACAAAGAUGACACAGACAUCACACCAGUCACGUAUAGUCUAUGUUCAUCAUUCACAUACUUACUCUUGGACACAGUGAGCUUACAGAAAUAAUUAAUGGAUAAGUGUGACUCUUCCAACUUUUAGUGUUACAGAGCACAUCCCUGCCUGCUUGUUAGUAUCUGUUUACAGACAUGUUGCCCAUCAAUUUAUCUAAUCCCUUUCUGAACACCCCAAAAGUGUCUCACCUCCCAAAGUAUUUUUUGCAAUUACUUACAUCUGAUAGGGCUUGCAGGAUCAAGUCCCAAAGGAAAAACCAGUGAAAGGAAAUCUAGAUAGAUAAUCCUUCUUGGACUAACCAUGAGAAGGGUCUCAGAGCUGCCAAGAGACAUCAGGGAGUGCA
ensembl:lncRNA